rnacentral:rRNA from 1 species
UACAGAGGGGGCAAGCGUUGUUCGGAAUUACUGGGCGUAAAGGGCGCGUAGGCGGCCUUCUAAGUCGAACGUGAAAUCCCCGGGCUCAACCCGGGAACUGCGUCCGAUACUCUCGAGCUGGAGGCAGGUAGGGGAGAGUCGGAAUUCCUGGAUGUAGCGGUGAAAUGACGCAGAUAUCAGGAGGAACACCGGUGGCGAAGGCGGAUCUCUGGGCCUUGCCUGACGCUGAGGAGCGAAAGUGUGGGGAGCGAACAGG